AUAACAAGAGACUAUUCCUGGUGACAAGCAUGUCUAGUCCUUCACCCGUAUAAAAUCAGAUGGGAAAGCUCUGCAGUUUAUUCAGGCGGAGAAGAUGUUCUACGAAGUGGCAUUGAUCGAGCUCACCUCGCUGCAGGCCAGCACAGGGUCUCAGGAAGACGGAACAUUGGGAACGUCAGGAUGUCUGUCUCAAGAGGAGUUAUCAGAACAGGCUUCACAGGCCCAGGAUCUUGAGAGACUGGCUCAGCUCUGCAUCAUGAGCAAAAGACCCCACCUUGCUUUAGAAUACAGUGGCAAGGCCACUAAAAUCCACCAGAGGGCUUUUGGUAACGAUCACCCCAUCACUGCCCGGAGUCUGGAGCUGCUAGCCACUGUCUAUGCAGAGAUCGGCAAAACAGAAUAUACAAAUUCAUUGGGAGAGUGUGUGUCGACUCUUUCCAAAAGGUUCUCAGCCACUGAGUCAUUCAGUGACGCUCUGAGUAGCAUUUCUCAUAGCCAUAAGGAGAGACACUCUGAGCUGCGACACAGAAAAAAGCCAUACAUACAACAGGAAACUCCUAAAACAAAGGUCAUAAAUGAAAAACUGCCCACCUCUAUUCUGAAAAGGUCCAAUGUGAGCAAUGUGGAGCCAGACUCAUCGCGCAAGCGAAAAACCGAGAGGCGGGUUCGCUUCAGAGAACCGGAGAUCACUGUUCAUGUCUACAACACUCCCCAGAGCCGUUUGCACCUGGCCCUGCUCACCUGCCUAUUCCUGCUUCUGUCUGCGCUGGGUCUAGCACUGUACUGCACGGACCGCCGGAGACCCCAGCGCGCCUGCGAAGAGCUGCAGACGGCACUGGCUGUGUACCUGCUUCAGUUCAAACAGAUCGUUUGGGCCUGCUGGAUCUGGCUGACCAUGCAAUGACCAUAACUGACCACAGGGGGCAGCAACAGGCAAGCAAAAAAAAACAUAAAAGGUCAGGAUGUUUUUUGAAGGACUGUGGAGGAAAUAAAAGAUAAAGGUCCUCUUGUUUUUUAUUGCUUUAUUUUCACUGUUAUAAUCAGACUGGCCACCAGUCGAAUUCUCUGAGGAUCUUCAACAUCCGCCUCUUUUAUUUUGUGGUUGAUUAAAGCUAUGUGCUUUUCACACCAUUAAGGGAUGGUGUGUUUUUUUUGCCCUUUAUGGUGGCUAAUGCCGCAUUAUACUGAGCCAUAUAUAUUUAGAUCUUUGUAUGUAGCUCGUUUUCCUCGUAUAGCGGUUCUGGAUGAUAUGUUUUAAAGGAAUAGUUCACCAAAAAUGAAAAUUUGCUGAACAUUCACUCAUCCUCAGACCAUCCAAUAUGUAGAUGAGUUUGUUUCUUUAGCAUUACAUCACUUGCUCACCAGUGGAUCCUCUGUAGUAAAUGGGUGCCAUCAGAAUGAGAGUUCAAACAGCUGAUAAAAAUGUCAUAAUGAUUCAAAAGUAUUCCACACAUUUUGUGAAGCAACAAGCUGUGCGUUUGUGAGAAACAAAUCCAUCGUUGAGGCGUUUUAAACUUUAAACCCUUUUACUUGUGAAUUACUGUGUUUUUAUCAGCUCUUUGGACUCUUAUUCUGACGGCACCCAUUCACUGCAGAGGAUCCAUUAGUGAGCAAGUGAUGUAAUGCUAAAUAUCUCCAAAUCUGUUCCAAUGAAAAAACAAACUCAUAAAAAUCUUGAUUAGCCUGAGGUUGAGUAUAUUUUCAGUACUUUUUAUUUUUGGCUGAAUGUUUCCUUUAAAGCAUCUUUUGGUCCUUUUCCAAAGAAUACUCGUGCAGCAAUAUUAAUUAAAACCUUUAGCACUCAGAAUUAUACAGUGUCGAGAGAGAAAACGAAUUAAUGAAUUCCGUCCACAGGUAGAGCCCUACUGAUAUAUUAAUAGGUCAGUAUUAUCAGUCAAAUUAGGCAUGUAAGACAUUGAAUACCUUUACAGGUCUCUAAUAAGCAAUAUGAAAUGAGCCACAUGUAACGGUGAGUACAUGCAUAAUAUCAUGUGCAUUGUUACAAGUAGUUACAUUUUAGUGCAGAGAACGCUUAGACACACACACACACACACACACACACACACACACACACACAUCGCAUGUGCUUAUAGAAUGAGUAAACGCAUGGCUGGAUCAUUUCCUGCUAGUGCUGUUCUUUGUGUUCAUUGGCUUUAUAUAAUAUUUACCUCAAUUUCUGAAGCGCUAUUUUUGUCGUAGGAUAUAAAUAGCAAUAUAAGGGCUUUCUGAUUCAAAGAGUGAAUUUAGGAAACUGCUGAAAUAAAUGUACUGUAUUACAAAAAUAAAGACAGGAUUGAGUUGGAAAUAUGUUUAUCCUCAGACACAUCCAAGAAUGGAUUUAUUUUCAUCCAGCUUCAA
rnacentral:lncRNA from 1 species